CCUGCAGGCCAAAUCCAACCCACUGCCUGAUUUUGUAAAUACAGGCUUUUUUUAGAACCUGCAGCUGCCCUAAUUCAUUGAUGAAUUGUCUAUGGUGCUUUUGCAUUACAAUAGCAGAGGCCCUCUCAGAGCCUUUAAGAAGCCAGUAAGGAAAUCCAGCUGCAUUUCCCUGGAACCCUGUUGUCAUGGAGUGUACCCGAUUCUGGGAUGCAUGUACCUGAGGGCAUAGGAAGACUUCUCAAGGGAUACAGUCAGCAGUGUUCGUGGAGCCCCUACGCUGUCCCCGACACCAUCCUAGAAGCAGGAAAUACAGCGAGGAACAAGACAGAAAGCGUGGUCUCGUCCUGGAGUUACAGCAGGAAUUCUGACCAUCCACUAUGACAGCCAGAGGCCACAAGAU